rnacentral:lncRNA from 1 species
UAUACUAAAGACUUUGGUAAGAAUUAUUCAUUCUUUAUGACAUUUUUACUUAAGUUAAGUUCAUUCUGUUGAGAAAAAUAUUAGGAACAUCUUUUAAACACACUUCACUAAACUUAUUUGGUUUGCUGUUGAAAAUUUGCAAAUAUUCAUAAAUGUUUACGACUACAAAGUGCCAAUCAGACAUAGUGUAUGUUUGGAACCGUGUUUGGGAUGCUCUAAUCGCAUGUUUGGAAUGAAGCUACUAACUGGAGCUUCAGUUUAAAUGCACGUUUAAUUGGUCGGAAACGAUACACAUGCCCUUAACCUAUCACAUCCUUCUUUGAAGUGCUGUGAGGAAAAAGUAAAAGUAAAAAUGCAUAAGUAAAGAAAGAAUAUCCAAUGCUUUUUCCCCCUUUAUUAAAUAGAAUAGGACAAUUUUAUUUGUAAAUGAUUGAAUUGGUGUAAAUGAAACAAGUUUUUAUCAAAAUAGUCAUAUGAGAUGACAAGAUGAAAAGAUAAGAAACUCAUGUAUCAAACAUGAGUACAUGACUUACAAUAUUUUUUAUUUUUUUUAUCAUACAGAGUCAUAUAUUUUGAAUAUGUAACAUUUAUUUUUCAAUCACUAACUAAAGUGUAACAAUGUAUGGUAUUCUCUGAAAUAAAAAUGACCAGCUAUUUGCAAUUCCAGAAUUUUGUUUUUAACUUACUAACUUACAAUUUUUAAUGACCAAUUUGGUGAUUUCCUAAAAGAGGUGCCAUGCUGGUUUCUUGUUGUAGACCUGUAGCGGAUAUAUGAUAGCAACCUAUGAAUGAGUCCAAUGUGUGGGACAAAAGCUUUGGCUUUUUCCUGUUUUUAAUUGAAAAGAAAUUUGUAGCAUCUCAACCAUCCAUCCCAGCAAAUAUCCAAGGUGAGUCCAUCCACUCUGUUUUGCACUUCUUUGGUCACUUUCAUAGUCCUAGGAAUGUGAAUAGUAGUUUGGUUUGGAUAGGCUUU